UGCGUGAUUCUAUUGGGGUUGGUGUGGGCUGUGGGAGUCGCGAUUUUGAAUUCAGCUUCGUUCGCUCUGCUGCCUCACCAGUCUUCUCUCAGUAAACCCGUUCUUCCGGAAAACAAGUUUUAGAGGCUGGGAAGUCCAAGACCAAGGUCCCAGCCUAUGCAGUCAGCAGCGAGAACCCCCUUCCUCUCUCGCAGAAGGCCUCCUUCUCGUCUGCACAGGGCUGGUGAAGAGAGCUCUCGCCCUUCCUCCUGGAGAGAAGAAGGGAGAGAGAAGCAUUGAUUGGUUGCCUCCCAUAGGUGACCAGACCAGGCAUCAAUCCUGCAACCUAGCCUGUUAAAUUUGACUAAAACAGUCCUCUGGACCUCGGUUUGGAUCCCUGGUUUUCCUCUAACUAGCUGAGACUUUGAACAAUUAUUCCAUUUCUGAUCAUGGCUGAUAAAACCCAGGAGGUUGGUGGCAUCCAUUUCCCUUUUCCUUUCACACCCUAUUCCAUCCAGAAAGACUUCAUGGCAGAGCUUUACCAGGUGUUGGAGGCUGGCAAGAUUGGGAUAUUUGAGAGUCCAACCGGCACUACUGUUCCACAAUCCGGAUUUGACUGUUUCCUCUUUAUCGAUUCAGAGAUGUUUAGACGUAAGGUGGCUCCCCAAAGCCUGCCAAGAACAAAAAAUAUACUGUAAGCUCAAACAUCAGGGACUUGAUGGAAGCAAUCCAACAUGCUGAUCAGGUCCCAGAAGAAGAAAUAUUUUACAUACUCCCAUUAUUGAACAUCAAUAUCAUCCAUGGGAAUGUAAAAUAUAACGAGUGUCUGGACUUGGUAGACGUCAUUGUCAAUUACCUGAGCAAAAUGGUGAGGAGCCCAUGCCUCUGGGUUGAGGUUUUUGGGGGGAAGAAAGGAUCACAGGUCUAAACCCAGAAGUUCCUUUCUGGUGAACUGAGUGGUAUAUGAGAUAUAAGUACCUAAAGUUUCUAUACAAUUUACUAGAACCUAUAUCUGAUAUCACAAAUGUGUCUCAAGACUGUGAUGUAGAAGAUAAAGUAAAGAAGUAGAGGGUAGUGUGGGAGAAAUGGGAUGCAGAGGCCGGGAAGUAUUAGGCUUUUGGCUCCAAAGCCUGAUCUUGUUCUUCCACUGUGUUCUAAACCUGCUCCUGGGAUAACUUAGGCAGUCACCCUUGUUACUGCAACUCAACUAAUCACUUCAAUCUAUUUACUAAGUGACUUAAAUCCACCCACGUGUCUGCUAGCCCACCUUGGGACUGUAUAUUCAUAACCUCUACCCAUUCAUCUAUCCACAUACCCAUGUACAUAAUUUUUCUGACACCAGGUAAAUCUGGUUUCUGAUUUUAUUGGUUAACUGCCUACAUACAAGGUGUCUUCCAGUUUUUCGGCCUUCCUUGGCAUGCCUGCUUUCUGAUCAAGACCCCUGACCUAUCAGGGACUUUUCAAACUGGCUUCCACCAUCUAACCACGUUUCUGAUGGUUCACUUGCAGCCACAGGGAAAUCUCUGUGCUCUGGAUAUGCCAACUCCCUUUCCUACCAAACACACAAGCCAGAGACUUUGCAGAGAAUUUGCCCUUGUCCUCCAUCAUGGGAAAGUUGUAUGUUGAAUGAAGUGGUGGGAUUAAGAAAUUUAGCAUCUGCCCUUUAGAUAGAGGAGAGCCACUUAUCAACCAAAGUCAAUUCUCAGCAGCCCCAGGACUCGUGUUGGAUAUUAACUUUGGUACAGUUAAGUCGUUCUCUUUCCAGAAGCCAAGACCAAAACUGGAGAGGUUUUGCAUUAUCACCUUAAAAGGUGUGGGGGCUAAGAACCCACAACUGGUCUACAGGAAGCUGUGGGAUAGAGAAUACGAUCACUGUCUGCCUCCAAAGAGCCUCCUAAUUGUGGUUGGGGAUCUCUGCUGCUCCCG